CACAUCCCGAUUCAUGGUAUAGUAGAAACCAACACAAGAUUGUAAAGAAAUUACCCUCCAGUUAAAACAAACAGGGGCAUCACCACUGUUUGGCACCAAUGAAUGAUAUCACUGACUCAAUGGACUUGAGUUUGAGGAAACUCCAGGAGAUAGUGAAGGAGAGGGAAGCCUGGUGUGCUGCCGUCCAUGGGGUUGCAAAGAGUUGGACACGACUUAGUGACUGAACAAAAACAAAAAACCAAACAAAAUCUAUGUCCUUCUUUCAGAGAAGAUGGUUGUCAAGUGCCAGGGCAAGAUCUGAGAAUAUAGCCCUGCAAAAGCAAAUUUCAAAACUAUUAGGCUUGUUCUUGUGUGCACAACCUGGGGAAAAAAAUAGCAAGGGUGUUUGCUGUUAAGACAGUUUCAUUGUUUACCUAACUGAAUUCUAGUGAGGAUACUUAAGCCACAGAAAUGUUGCUAAUCCCAACGUUUGGCAAAGGUGACCUGAAUACUGUGAAUGCUGAAGAAGUCUUGCAUUUCCCCAGGAGCAACUUUUACCACAGCCUAGUUCUCCUACUCUGGUCACUGUCUUCAGUUCAGUCACUCAGUUGUGUCCGACUCUUUGUGACCCCAUGGACUGCCACAUGCUAGGCCUCCCUGUCCAUCACCAACUCCCGGAGCUUGCUCAAACUCAUGUCCAUCGAGAUGGUGAUGCUAUCCAACCAUCUCAUUCUCUGUCGUCCCCUGUUCCUCUUGCCUUUAAUCUUCCCCAGCAUCAGGGUCUUUUCCGGUGAGUCAGUUCUUUGCAUCAGAUGGCCAAAGUAUUGGUCACUGUCAAGUUCACAUAACCCUGUGUCCUGGCUUUACUGAGUGGAGCACAGAGGAGGGCUAUAUUUCAUCAAUACCAAAUUUUGGGCCCUGAACCAGGACGAGCUCAGCUGAUCGAUGUUACCCUGCUGGCCCUCUUUUUAUUGGUUAGCCAAGAUAAAGUUUUGUCAGUUUUGCAAAUUUUUCUUAAAGUACUCGAGCAUUAUCUUUGAAAUAUAAACAUCAGAGAAAAGAAGUUCCUAUUUCUUUGGGUACCUUGAUCCAAACAAUAAUUGCCUGUUGCCACAGAGGCUUCAUUUUUCCUUGGGAUAAAGGCAAUUAACUAGCUCAGAUGGCUGCCCCAAUGACCGGUCAGUUUAGGAUUAAACUAUGAAAUAAGGCAUCCCAAAUGUUGCAUUAUCUCAUCUGAGGACAAAGUUAUCAUGUAUCUUGAGACCGCAUCUGCUGAAUAUAUAAAAUAUAUAUCAGAAUAUUUCAGAAUAUAUGUCUGAAUAUAUAAAAGGAAGAGAUUCUAUCCUGUCUUUAUAAUCUCAUUAGCAAAUUAUUUUAGUGGUCACUGCAGCUUGGUUUAAUGCAUACUCAAUAACAAAACCAUUUCUUUUCUACAUAUGUGGAGAGGAAUUUCCUGGGUUAGUCUGAGAUUUUCUUUAUAACUUUCCCUCAAACAUGACUGUGGAGAAGUUUGACUAUCAGUGUUCCAUGAGAGGUAAGAGAAGAUUGCCAUUGGAUAUCACUAUGGGCUCAGAAUUUCCACCUUUGGUGAAAUAAUAAAGGACACAGAACCAUCUCCUUCCUGAGUCCUCCCUAGGGUGGGCGCUGUCCAGUUAUGCCUGCUGACAUGGGCAUGGGAACUCUUCUCUCCUUCCUGUGUUCAUCUCACUAAGGGAGUAAUGCCAGCCUUGGACCCCAGAAGCACUGGGCAGUUGAGGAACCCCACCUUCCUAUCGAGAGGCAAUGUUCAUGGACAUUUUCAGUUAAUACCUGGCAUUGCAUUCUGAGAAAACAGAAGAGUGGAACUUGGACUUGCCUGUGUUUUUUAGUACUUUGAAAUUUCUGCCUCCUUGCUGCCAAAAAUAUCACCCCACCCUCUUUCAAAAAUAUUGCUGACUCACAGUGAACAAAGAUUUUUAGAGCUCAGUAGAAGUGAUGGAAGCACAGUUCUGGGAUGUCUGUACAGGCUCUGAGCCAACAGUUUCUCAUCUGGUCCCACUAGAUGGAAACAAGCUCACAAAAUGAGGACUAUUAUUUUAAAAAUCAUUCUAUUUCUUGGAUCUCUCUUGCAGUGUUUUCACAACCAGUGUCCAGCUUCCCAGAAGGCAGGGGUGGGGCCACUGACCAAGGGUCUCUCUUGCACUUAGGUUUUUAAGGUUUAUCAUAAAGUGUGUCUGCAUUUAGCAUGAGAACCAGAUGAAAUAAAGGCAGUUAACAAAUUUCAGUCCUUGAAGUAGCACAUAUUACCCCAAAAAUGACACGAAGGAGGGGUGCACCACCUGUAUAUAUGUAUUUAGAUAGUUGAGGGUCAGAAAGGGUAGAUCCUUCAUCAUCUUUCCCUCCCCCAGCUGUGCACAGAGGCAAAGACCUAUGGCCAUAGUAAGGGCUGGUUAGGGAGCACAGAUUGGAAAUUGUGUGUGUGUGUGUGUGUGUGUGUGUGUGAGAGAGAGAGAGAGAGAGAGAGAGAGAGAGAGAGAGAAAGAGUUAAGAAUCGUCCUUGUGCAAAUAUAUUUCUGUGUAUAAGCAUUGUGUUUUUUUUUUUUUAAUAAGUAUAACACUUCUGAGGCCCUACAGUUGGAAAUGUGUGAUGGUCCCUUAAAAGGACAUUCAGUCAGGGUCCACCUCAUCCUCCUGAGGGCUGGGUUCACUGUCCCACAGAUGUCAACAUUGAGACCUCCUGCAGGAAAGCGACUGGUUGCUGUGCUCAGGGGCCAUCGAUCCACCGAGCUGAAACUCCUGCACUGAACUGAGACUUUCCACCUUGAAAAAUGAAAGUGUUGGUUGCUCAGUCAUGUCUCUUUGCAACCCCAUGGACUGUAAACUGCCAGGCUCUCCUGUCCAUGGGAUUUUCCAGGCAACUAUACUGGAGUGGGUAGCCAUUCCCUUCUCCAGGGGAUUUUCCCGACCCAGGGAUCAAACCUGCAUCUCCUGCAUUGGCAGGUAGAGUUUGAUUCUUUCAAACUUUUUACCACCCAGUGCCUUCCUGUGACUUCCACAAGGGCGUCCACCCACCCAGAAUUCCCUGUGUUGUUGAGGAAAACCAGCUCCGUGUCUUUUGCAAGUUCUUCAACUUGGCCACUUAUUUUAUUGAAGUUUGCAAACUGGGAGGACACUAGAGUUUGCUGUUGAGGUGGAGGACACAGUCUUGUAAAACCUGAUAAUGGCAAUCAUAUUCCUUUUCCUUAUAACAUUCUAUUGGUUAGAAGCAAGUCAUAAGUACUACCCAUCCUCAAGGAGAGGGUAUUUCACAAAGUCAUGACUAUCAGUCAAUGAAAUUGGGUAUCAUAGCGGGUGUCUCCCUGUGUGCCCAGUACCCCUCCUGUGGACCAGGAGUUGCUUGAGAGCAUCCGUCUCAGUGGCGGCCUUUGAGAAACUUUAGAGGAGAGAUAUGUAUGAAGAAAAGGUACAUUUCUUCUCAAUUACAAAGGGAAGAUGGCUGCUGAAAACUGUUAGCCAUAGGUGUGAUAGUAAUCUCCAUAUGUAUUUCAGGAUACUGUUUAAAUGCAAGUUUUGUGAGACCUUUCAAAAGAGGCAGGGAACAUGAGAGCCUGAUGUGACUUUACCAGGCAAGAGGCUAAUUUAUUCUCUUUUACUGACAAUGUCCCUCAGCUAGUGAAUCAGGAAGGCAGGAAGAAACUGUACCUCUGCUUUCAACAAAGCAUUUAGGUCAAAAUUCAGAUAAACUUUGCAAGGGGUCCUAAACAAAUGUGAUGUACUCAAGGCUAUCAACACUGAUGGAGAGAAUUUUCUCAUGACCUGACACAGAACUUACUCCUAAUUUUUAACAGUGGAAAUGUAAAGGGCAUACUCAUCAAAUUUAGAGCUGAUAGAGGUUUGGACAGAGAAGGCAAUGGCACCCCACUCCAGUACUCUUGCCUGGAAAAUCCCAUGGGCUGAGGAGCCUGGUAGGCUGCAGUCCAUGGGGUCAUGAAGAGUCA
ensembl:lncRNA